GGCGUGCUUAACACAUGCAAGUCGAACGGAAAGGCCCUGCUUUUGUGGGGUGCUCGAGUGGCGAACGGGUGAGUAACACGUGAGUAACCUGCCCUUGACUUUGGGAUAACUUCAGGAAACUGGGGCUAAUACCGGAUAGGAGCUCCUGCUGCAUGGUGGGGGUUGGAAAGUUUCGGCGGUUGGGGAUGGACUCGCGGCUUAUCAGCUUGUUGGUGGGGUAGUGGCUUACCAAGGCUUUGACGGGUAGCCGGCCUGAGAGGGUGACCGGCCACAUUGGGACUGAGAUACGGCCCAGACUCCUACGGGAGGCAGCAGUGGGGAAUAUUGCACAAUGGGCGGAAGCCUGAUGCAGCAACGCCGCGUGCGGGAUGACGGCCUUCGGGUUGUAAACCGCUUUCGCCUGUGACGAAGCGUGAGUGACGGUAAUGGGUAAAGAAGCACCGGCUAACUACGUGCCAGCAGCCGCGGUGAUACGUAGGGUGCGAGCGUUGUCCGGAUUUAUUGGGCGUAAAGGGCUCGUAGGUGGUUGAUCGCGUCGGAAGUGUAAUCUUGGGGCUUAACCCUGAGCGUGCUUUCGAUACGGGUUGACUUGAGGAAGGUAGGGGAGAAUGGAAUUCCUGGUGGAGCGGUGGAAUGCGCAGAUAUCAGGAGGAACACCAGUGGCGAAGGCGGUUCUCUGGGCCUUUCCUGACGCUGAGGAGCGAAAGCGUGGGGAGCGAACAGGCUUAGAUACCCUGGUAGUCCACGCUGUAAACGGUGGGUACUAGGUGUGGGGUCCAUUCCACGGGUUCCGUGCCGUAGCUAACGCUUUAAGUACCCCGCCUGGGGAGUACGGCCGCAAGGCUAAAACUCAAAGGAAUUGACGGGGCCCCGCACAAGCGGCGGAGCAUGCGGAUUAAUUCGAUGCAACGCGUAGAACCUUACCUGGGUUUGACAUGGAUCGGGAGUGCUCAGAGAUGGGUGUGCCUCUUUUGGGGUCGGUUCACAGGUGGUGCAUGGCUGUCGUCAGCUCGUGUCGUGAGAUGUUGGGUUAAGUCCCGCAACGAGCGCAACCCUUGUUCACUGUUGCCAGCACGUUAUGGUGGGGACUCAGUGGAGACCGCCGGGGUCAACUCGGAGGAAGGUGGGGAUGACGUCAAGUCAUCAUGCCCCUUAUGUCCAGGGCUUCACGCAUGCUACAAUGGCUGGUACAGAGAGUGGCGAGCCUGUGAGGGUGAGCGAAUCUCGGAAAGCCGGUCUCAGUUCGGAUUGGGGUCUGCAACUCGACCUCAUGAAGUCGGAGUCGCUAGUAAUCGCAGAUCAGCAACGCUGCGGUGAAUACGUUCCCGGGGCUUGUACACACCGCCCGUCAAGUCAUGAAAGUUGGUAACACCCGAAGCCGGUGGCCUAACCGUUGUGGGGGAGCCGUCGAAGGUGGGACUGGUGAUUAGGACUAAGUCGUAACAAGG
rnacentral:rRNA from 1 species